rnacentral:lncRNA from 1 species
ACUGCACUGGCUCAGGUUGCUGUGGAUCCCUGGCCCAGUGUAGUGGGUUAAGGAUCCAGUGUUGCCACAGCUGGGGCUCAGAUUCAAUCCCAGGCCCAGGAACUUCCAUAUGCUGCAGGUGCAGCAGUAAAAAUAAUAAUAAUUUUAUAUUAACUGAAUAGUGCAUUUGAAAUGCUAAUUACAUUUCUCUGUCAAAGUAAUUUUGUAACUUUCAAGGAAACAAUAAAAUUUACCUCUCUGAAUUUUCACUUCUCCUUUGGUUACAAACAAACUGGGAACUUCCUGAUGAGAACCAAAUCUGUUGGUCCCUUAAAACACACACACACACACACACACACACACACACACACACACACACACACAAAAUCCUAUUGAAUACUUGCCUUUUAUAAACUUACACUGUGUGACAAAGUCUUUUAUCAAGAUCUUUGGAUAUGGUGAUAGCAUCAAGGCUCUUUUGGUCUUGUUCCACUCAUGGUGACCACUACAGUGGCUUAUAAGUGGACAUUUAAUAUAAAGUUAUUCAUGGGGAGUUGCUGUUGUGGCUCAGCUGUAGUGAACUUGGCUAGUAUCCAUGAGGAUGCGUGUUCGAUCCCUGACCUUGAUGACUGAGUGUGUCGCCGUGAGCUGUGGUGUAGGUUGCAGACACUGUUUGGAUCCCAUAUUGCUGUGGCUGUAACUGGCAGCUACAGCUCCAAUUAGACCCNNNNNNNAACUUACAGAAUGGGAGAAAAUAGUUUCAAGUGAUGCAACUGACAAGGGCUUAAUCUCUAAAAUAUGCAAACAACUUAUACAACUCAACAGCAAAAAAGCCAACAACCCAAUGGAAAAAUGGGCAAAAGACCUGAAUAGACAUUUCUCCAAAGAAGAUAUACAGAUGUCCAACAAGCACUUGAAACAAUGCUCAACAUCACUGAUUACUAGAGAAAUCCAUUCAAAACUACCAUGAGAUACCACCUCGCACCAGUCAUAAUGGCCAUCAUUAAUAAGUCCAUAAAGAACAAAUGCUGGAGGGGGUGUUGAAAAAAGGGAACCCUCCUGCACCAUUGGUGGGAAUAUAAAUUGUUACAACCACUAUGGAAAACAGUAUUGUGGUACCUCAGAAAACUAAGUAUAAAACUACCAUAUGACCCAGCAAUCCUACUCUUGGGCAUAUAUCUGGACAAAACUUUCCUUGAAGAAGACACACACACCUGCAUGUUCCUUGCAGCACUAUUCACAAUAGCCAAUACAUGCAAACAACCUAAAUGCCCUUCAACAGAUGAAUGGAUUAAGAAGAUGUGGUAUGUAUACACAAUGGAAUACUACUCAGCCAUAAAAAAAUAAUGCCAUUUGCAGAAACAUGGAUGGAACUAGAGACUCUCAUACUAAGUUAAGCAAGUCAGAAAGAGAAAGACAAAUGCCAUAUGAUAUCACAUAUCUAGAAUCUAAUAUAUGGCACAAAUGAACCUUUAGACAAAAGAAAAUCAUGGACAUGGAGAACAGACUUGUGGUUGGUAAGGAGGAGGGGGAGGGAGUGGGAUGGACUGAGGAUUUGGGGUUAAUAGAUACAAACUGUUGCCUUUGGAGUGGAUAAGCAAUGAGAUCCUGCUGUAUAGCACUGGGAGCUAUACCUAAUCACUUACGAUGGAGCAUUAUAAUGUGAGAAAAAGGAAUGUAUAUAUGUACGUGUAACUGGGUCACCUUGCUGUACAGUAGAAAAUUGACAGCACAGUGUAAACCAGCUAUAAUGGAAAACAAUAAAAAUCAUUAAAUAAAAAAAGCAACAUAGAAGAAGUUUUAUUUGCAAAUAGGAUUAUUAGUUAAUAACUACAACAAAGGAAGGAAGGAAAAAAGGGAGUUCCCAUCAUGGUGCAGCAGAAAUGAAUCAGACUAGUAUCCAUGAGGAUUCAGGUUCAUUCCCUGGCCUUGCACAGUGGGUUAAGGAUCCAUUGUUGCCAUGAGCUGUGGUGUAGGUUGCAGACACGGCUUGGAUCCCCUGUGGCUGUGGCUGUGGUGUAGGCUAGGAGCUGUAGCUCCAAUUUGACCCUUAGCCUGGGAACUUCCAUAUUCCAU